UUCGAAGGGGGCUAGCGUUGCUCGGAAUUACUGGGCGUAAAGGGCUCGUAGGCGGUCAACUAAGUCAUACGUGAAAUCCCUCGGCUUAACCGGGGAACUGCGUCUGAUACUGGAUGGCUUGAGUUCGGGAGAGGGAUGCGGAAUUCCAGGUGUAGCGGUGAAAUGCGUAGAUAUCUGGAGGAACACCGGUGGCGAAGGCGGCAUCCUGGACCGAUACUGACGCUGAGGAGCGAAAGCCAGGGGAGCAAACGGG
rnacentral:rRNA from 1 species